rnacentral:rRNA from 1 species
GACGAACGCUGGCGGCGCGCUUAACACAUGCAAGUCGAGCGAGAACCAGGGCUUCGGCCCUGGGGACAGCGGCGAACGGGUGAGUAACACGUGGAUAACCUGCCCUCGGCACCGGGAUAGCCCGGGGAAACCCGGAUUAAUACCGGAUGGCCCUUCCGGCUCACGAGCCGGUCGGAAAAGGUAGCUUCGGCCUCCGGCCGAGGAUGGGUCCGCGGCGGAUUAGCUUGUUGGUGGGGUAACGGCCCACCAAGGCUCCGAUCCGUAGCUGGUCUGAGAGGACGAUCAGCCACACUGGGCCUGAGACACGGCCCAGACGCCUACGGGAGGCAGCAGUGGGGAAUCUUGCGCAAUGGGCGAAAGCCUGACGCAGCGACGCCGCGUGAGGGAGGAAGGCCUUCGGGUUGUAAACCUCUUUCAGGAGGGACGAAGCUACUCGGGUGAAUAGCCCAGAGGGUGACGGUACCUCCAGAAGAAGCCCCGGCUAACUACGUGCCAGCAGCCGCCGCCG